GCACUAAAUCAUGAAGGCUGGAUUCUUGAAGCCUGGCAGAGGCAAAUGUCUCAUUAAUGCUGAUCUGAGAGACAUCUGUGAUGAGCCUGAACAUCAGGCCAAUCUGCAGAGCUGAUCAGGGGCUGCUGAGUGGUUCUGAAGUGAGUCAGGCUGUGAAUGAAGACUCCACCAGAAUGAGGAGAAUUCCAUGCAUGGAGAUUCAAAUAAAGACAAAAGGGAGAUGCAACUAUGGAGGCUGAGAAGUCCCACCAUCGGAGCGCCUCUGCCCCGCCGCCCCAUCUGGGAUGUGAGGAGCGCCUCUGCCCGGCCGAGACCCCGUCUGGGAGGUGAGGAGCGUCUCUGCCCGGCCGCCCCGUCUGAGAAGUGAGGAGACCCUCUGCCUGGCAACCACCCCGUCUGAGAAGUGAGGAGCCCCUCCGCCCGGCAGCUGCCCCGUCUGAGAAGUGAGGAGCCUCUCCGCCCGGCAGCCACCCCAUCUGGGAAGUGAGGAGCGUCUCCGCCCGGCAGCCACCCCGUCCGGGAGGGAGGUGGGGGGGGGUCAGCCCCCC
rnacentral:lncRNA from 10 species